GUCCGUCUGUAAAUUAUUCACAUUUUCAACAUCUUCUCAGGGUUGUCUCUAAGACCCGGGAGGCGGGGAAUUCCCCCGGCUAUAGUGACGUAAUUACCCGGCUAUUUUUGCAGUUCAAAUUUGAUAAAAAGAAAAAUUAAAGUGAUAUGUAACUAGAAACCAAAGUAAUACAAUUUCCUUCAAUUAUAAUCACAAUUGUAAACAUUUUCUUCGCUAUCGAUAAACGCGAACGCUUCCGGUUCGGGAUUAGUUUUACGGAUUUUUAAAUUCCGUUUUGUUUGAUUCUACAAUUCUUUUUCGAUUUAAACUUCCGGUGUAUAUGAUGGCAGCUCAGAAGAAACUGGCAUUUUUGGGGUUUAAAAACAGCAAAGAAAAACGAGAAAGCACACAAGAUCAAGCAACUGAAGUCCAGUGCAAACGCAAACGAAUAGAAGAUGAGUCAAACCCAAAAGAAAAUUCAAGUCCUAGCAGUAGUUCUGAAGUUCUCGGCAGCAGUCCUCAAGUCCCCAGCAGCUGUCCACAAGUCCCCGGCAGCAGUUCUCAAGCUAGCAGCAGCAGUUCUCAAGUUAAAAGCCAUUCAAUAUCAGAAGUUACUGAUUUAUUUCCUGAGAAACAUGUUCACCACCAUGACAUAUGCGAGACAAAAUGUUUUGAAAGUUCUAAGUCUUUUUGUCUUACUGAAAAAGAAAACAAAAAAACCUACAAGUUAAAACAUAGCUGGCUUGAGAAUAAGAAGAUGUCAUACUGUGAAACAACAAACCUAUGGUGGGCAAUUUUCUCAGACGGAGAGGGUUUAUAUUGUUACCUUUGUAGAAAACAUGAUACAAUGAACACCCAAAAUAAAACAAAAGAUUUUCAACAAAGAUCCAAGAGAAUCCGUCCAGAGGCAUUCACUGAUCAUUGUAAAACUGUACAACAUCAAAAUGCUAUUUCCUCAGAAAUGCUGCAAAAAGUCUCAUUUUUUCAAAGGGAAAUAUCGGAAAGAGAGAAGGUGGCUGAUGAAGUUCUUGUGAAAGUGUUUGAAACUGUAAACUGGAUUAUUAAAGAAGAGUUGCCAAACUGUAAAGUCAGACCAAUGUUGUUACUUUUAGAGAGAUUAGGGUUGAAAGAAAUGAGGCAUUUUCAACAUAGAUCACAAACAGCACUGUUUGUAAUAAUAGAUCUACUGGGUAAAACAGUCCAAGGUACAUAUUUAAGAGAAGUUGGACAAGGAAGCUGCUAUGGGCUGAUGUUGGAUGAAGUAACUGACAUUUCAGUAGCUGAACAAAUGGUAACUUUCAUUCAAUACUACAGCAAAGCUGAUGGCAAAGUGAAGACACAAUUUCUAUCUGUGAAUGAUCUUCUCGAAGACGCAGAAUCUGCAGAUGCAAAAACUAUCACAAAAACAAUAUUCAACAAUUUAGAAAAAUUUGAACUGGACAAAAAAGGACUUUGUGCAUUUGUUUCUGAUGGUGCUGCUGUGAUGACCGGUGUAAAAUCAGGAGUUGCAACUGUAUUGAAGAAAGAAAACCCUCAAGUUAUCAGUGUGCAUUGCAUAUGCCAUCGUUUGGCUUUGGCAUGCACAGAUAUUCUUCAGAAUGUUGGUUAUAUUAAAAACGUACAUACAUGGUUGAUGCAGCUGUGGAACAUGUUACAGAAAUCCCCAAAGAAGAUGGCGUCCUUCUUGCAAAUACAGACCAACAUUGGAAUACACACAGGAAAACUCAUUGCAGUUAAAGAAAAUACGUCACCAAUAAAAAGGCUGAAGGAUGAUUUAAAAGAGGGACAAAGACUCUCAGAAUUAGGAAGAAAUGGUGUGACUGAAGAAAUAGUUGCAGAGUAUGGAAAGUUUAAGUAUGAAAUGCUGAAUAUGGAAGCAGAGGUUCCAGAAGAAUGUAAGCCUGCGAAUGGACCUUGCAAGAGAGGAGCCAGUUGUGUAAAGAGACUCAAGGCAAGAUUAAGAUCCAGACUACAAAACAAAACAUUAAAUGCAUUGAUGGCAAUCUCCAUCAAUGGAGAAGAAGCUGGGAGUGAAAUGGCCAAAUCUGUAAUUGCAGAUGCUGUAGAGUCAUGGAUUGCAGCAAAGAAAAGGAGAAGAUUCCCAAAGAAAACUCAUCAAACUGGUGAAGAAGAUGUUGAACAGAAUAGACUUGCAAAUGAAGCCAAUAAAAAUGUACCACAGACUGUAGAUGCAUGUGUGCAGACAGAUAGAGACAUGCGGAAGGAAAUUGUGAAGGAAGAAAUUUCAGCCUAUGUGAAAGCUUAUAAACUACAUCAAGAAUAUACAAGUUCUCCAGAUUCUGAUGAAGGUUUUGAUGAUGAAUCUGAUUAUGAUUAUAAAGAUGAAUUUUAA
rnacentral:sRNA from 1 species